GGGGCUGUGGCGGAAUUGGCAGACGCAGCUGACUUAAAAUCAGCCGGGUAAAACCGUGUGGGUUCGAGUCCCACCAGCCCUA
rnacentral:tRNA from 1 species